rnacentral:rRNA from 1 species
UACGGGAGGCAGCAGUGGGGAAUAUUGCACAAUGGGCGCAAGCCUGAUGCAGCCAUGCCGCGUGUAUGAAAAAGGCCUUCGGGUUGUAAAGUACUUUCAGUCGUGAGGAAGGUGUUAAGGUUAAUAACCUUAGCAAUUGACGUUAGCGACAGAAGAAGCACCGGCUAACUCCGUGCCAGCAGCCGCGGUAAUACGGAGGGUGCGAGCGUUAAUCGGAAUUACUGGGCGUAAAGGGCACGCAGGCGGUUAAUUAAGUUGGAUGUGAAAUCCCCGGGCUUAACCUGGGAAUGGCAUUCAAGCUGGUUAGCUAGAGUCUUGUAGAGGGGGUAGAAUUCCAUGUGUAGCGGUGAAAUGCGUAGAGAUGUGGAGGAAUACCGGUGGGCGAAGGCGGCCCCUGGGACAAAGACUGACGCUCAUGUGCGAAAGCGUGGGGAGCAAACGAGGGAUUAGAUACC